GAGAGAGGAAAAAUGAUAAAAGCUGGAAGAAAAGAAGAUUUGCAAAAGGAAUUGCCUAAAAUUGUGACAGAGUGAGAGAGAAUUAAAGGGAAAGAAUCAGACGAGAGAGAGAGAGAGAGAGAGAGGGGGAGAUAGUUAGGAAAAGUUAGUGACAGUUGAGAUAGGCCCCAAAACGGGAUCGAGUAGCAGUUAACUUGAUCUAUCAAUCGUAACAAGGAAGUUAACGUAUCCAGACAUAUGGACGAGCCCGAUAGCAUCUGCUUAGUAGCGGGUCAAGUUGCCGGGUGCAAAUAUUUGUUUUAGAAAACGGACCAUCGCCCAUCACCCAUAUUCCAGUUGGAACUACAUUUUGGUGGUGCUAGCGGCUCGCACUAAGUGGAUUUUGAUUGCGUGUGGAGUGGCAAUGGGAAGUUAACGAUAUUUACCAAAUAAUAUGCCCGCUUCUUGGUCACGAUAUGACAAAACAAAAAAUAA